UAGGAAUCUUGCCACAAUGGACGAAGUCUGAUGGAGCAACGCCGCGUGAGUGAUGAAGGGUUUCGGCUCGUAAAACUCUGUUGUUGGAGAAGAACGGGUGUCAGAGUAACUGUUGACAUCGUGACGGUAUCCAACCAGAAAGCCACGGCUAACUACGUGCCAGCAGCCGCGGUAAUACGUAGGUGGCAAGCGUUGUCCGGAUUUAUUGGGCGUAAAGCGAGCGCAGGCGGUUUUUUAGGUCUGAUGUGAAAGCCUUCGGCUUAACCGGAGAAGUGCAUCGGAAACCGGGAGACUUGAGUGCAGAAGAGGACAGUGGAACUCCAUGUGUAGCGGUGAAAUGCGUAGAUAUAUGGAAGAACACCAGUGGCGAAGGCGGCUGUCUGGUCUGCAACUGACGCUGAGGCUCGAAAGCAUGGGUAGCGAACAGGAUUAGAUACCCUGGUAGUCCAUGCCGUAAACGAUGAGUGCUAAGUGUUGGAGGGUUUUCCGCCCUUCAGUGCUGCAGCUAACGCAUUAAGCACUCCGCCUGGGGGAGUACGACCGCAAGGUUGAAAC
rnacentral:rRNA from 1 species